GACGAACGCUGGCGGCGUGCUUAACACAUGCAAGUCGAACGGAAAGGCCCUGCUUUUGUGGGGUGCUCGAGUGGCGAACGGGUGAGUAACACGUGAGUAACCUGCCCUUGACUUUGGGAUAACUUCAGGAAACUGGGGCUAAUACCGGAUAGGAGCUCCUGCUGCAUGGUGGGGGUUGGAAAGUUUCGGCGGCUGGGGAUGGACUCGCGGCUUAUCAGCUUGUUGGUGGGGUAAUGGCUUACCAAGGCUUUGACGGGUAGCCGGCCUGAGAGGGUGACCGGCCACAUUGGGACUGAGAUACGGCCCAGACUCCUACGGGAGGCAGCAGUGGGGAAUAUUGCACAAUGGGCGGAAGCCUGAUGCAGCAACGCCGCGUGCGGGAUGACGGCCUUCGGGUUGUAAACCGCUUUCGCCUGUGACGAAGCGUGAGUGACGGUAAUGGGUAAAGAAGCACCGGCUAACUACGUG
rnacentral:rRNA from 1 species